rnacentral:rRNA from 1 species
UACAGAGGGGGCAAGCGUUGUUCGGAAUUACUGGGCGUAAAGGGCACGUAGGCGGCCUGCUAAGUCGAACGUGAAAUCCCCGGGCUCAACCCGGGAACUGCGUCCGAUACUGGAUGGCUUGAGUUCGGGAGAGGGAUGCGGAAUUCCAGGUGUAGCGGUGAAAUGCGUAGAUAUCUGGAGGAACACCGGUGGCGAAGGCGGCAUCCUGGACCGAUACUGACGCUGAGGAGCGAAAGCCAGGGGAGCAAACGGG